UCCUGUAACCUGCACACCAGCUACGGCUGU
rnacentral:piRNA from 1 species